rnacentral:rRNA from 1 species
UAGAACCGGGGUAAGCGUGUAGGAGGAGGACCAGGUAAAUCCGGGCCUCAUAAACUCUGAGACGUGAUACCGAGCCGCUUCAGGCGAAGUCAUUGAUCCUAUGCUGCCUAGAAAAGCCCAGCAGCGAGUUGACAUGGUGCCCGUACCCCAAACCAACACAGGUGGACAGGUAGAGCAUACCAAGGCGAGUGGGAUAACUAUGGUUAAGGAACUCGGCAAAUUGCCUCCGUAACUUCGGGAGAAGGAGGACCCCAGUAGCGUGAUGAGACUUGCUCUCUGAGCGUGAAGGGGUGGCACAAAAUUGAGGGAAGCGACUGUUUACCAAAAACACAGCAGCGUGCUAAGCCGUAAGGCGCUGUAUACGCUGUGACUCCUGCCCGGUGCUGGAAGGUUACGGGGAUGGGUUAGUCCUUCGGGACGAAGCUCUGAACCUAAGCCCCAGUAAACGGCGGCCGUAACUAUAACGGUCCUAAGGUAGCGAAAUUCCUUGUCGGGUAAGUUCCGACCCGCACGAAUGGAGUAACGACUUCCCUACUGUCUCAACCAUAGACCCAGCGAAAUUGAAGUACGAGUAAAGAUGCUCGUUAGCUGCAGAAGGACGGAAAGACCCCGUGGACCUUUACUAUAACUUGAUGUUGUGUUUUGUCAUAUGUUGUGUAGAAUAGGUGGGAGACUUGGAAGCAUGGACGCUAGUCUGUGUGGAGUCAUCGUUGAAAUACCACCCUGCAUAUGGUGAGGCUCUAACCUAGACCCGUUAUCCGGGUUGGGGACAGCGUCAGGCGGGUAGUUUAACUGGGGCGGUUGCCUCCUAAAGAGUAACGGAGGCGCCCAAAGGUUCCCUCAGCCUGGUUGGCAAUCAGGCGUUGAGUGCAAUGGCAAAAGGGAGCUUGACUGCGUGACCUACAAGUCGAGCAGGAGCGAAAGCUGGGCAUAGUGAUCCGGCGGUUGCGUGUGGAAGCGCCGUCGCUCAACGGAUAAAAGGUACCCCGGGGAUAACAGGCUAAUCUUGCCCAAGCGUCCAUAGCGACGGCAAGGUUUGGCACCUCGAUGUCGGCUCAUCGCAUCCUGGGGCUGAAGCAGGUCCCAAGGGUUGGGCUGUUCGCCCAUUAAAGCGGUACGCGAGCUGGGUUCAGAACGUCGUGAGACAGUUCGGUCCCUAUCCUCUGCAGCCGGAGGUGAAUUGAGGAAAGCUGUCCCUAGUACGAGAGGACCGGGACGGACGCAGCUCUCGUGUGCCAGUUGUCCUGCCAAGGGCAUGGCUGGUUAGCGACCUGCGGAAAGGAUAACCGCUGAAAGCAUCUAAGCGGGAAGCCUCUUCCAAGAUGAAUUCACCCACAGGGUUAACCUGGUAAGGCCCGUGGUAGACCACCACGUUGAUAGGCCGGAAGUGUAAGCGUGGCAACACGUUCAGCUGACCGGUACUAAUCGGCCGAGGGCUCG